AAAAUUUGAGAAUUUAAGAUGUUGUACUUUUGACCAGUGGCAGCCAAAGGAGCAAAGCAAAGAAGAAAAAGAACCCCUGCAAUUCUACAAUCAACCGAGAAGCACGGGGAUUGAAUAUCCGACCAAACCCCCAAACGCGUUUUCUCUGCUCAGUCUUAACGCACACAACAAAUAUGUCUCUCUCUUUACUCAAACUUCUUUGCACUAUAUUACAAGUUUAUGCAUAUAUAUUAUUAUUAUUAUAUAUAUGCAAUAAAGUAAUGCAUGAGUAGUGGGUAUAAACAAAGCCGAGCUUUGCCGUCUCUCCAUUUCAACCAAAACCCAAAAUCCCAGACCCGGUAAGCUCAACUACCCACUGAUGCUUUUUCUCUAGAUCUCACUUCCUUUUUCCUCUUCCUUUGUAUGUUGUCAGCUUGGUUUCUUUCCCUUUUGUCAUUCUCUUUAGGGGUGUUGAAUGAAUUAUUCAAUAUUGGUGCGCUUUGAUUUUUGGUGUUGGUUUUCUGUUUCUAUUUUUUGGUUUGAGAGACUUGGUUCUUGCUCUUGGUUCUUGACUGAUUGAUUUUGUUUGGCUGCUCACUGGCUUAGGAUCCGAGAUCAAAACCCUGUCCAACUAUGUGUUGAUCUUGUAUGAACGACUGAUUUAAUAAUUGGCUGAGAGUUGUGUUUGACUUUUUUGGAGUUUGGUUUGUGUUAAAUUCUCUGCUCCAAUCAAUUUAUUAGUUAAUACUCAUCUUCUGUAUCAUACGAUCCGGUAAGUGCCGUAGUUGGCUACUUCAAAAUCUGGUGAUUCUUAUUUCUGUCCUAUUCAUUGCCUAUGGUCUUCAGCUUUUGGNNN
rnacentral:lncRNA from 1 species